AGUUUUUGUGCAUGCACUUGUUUUUCUCCACCACUAGAUGGCGCCUUUACCAUUCCGUCGGAGGGCGUGGAUGACGUCAUCCCACACCUGAUGCGAGUUUUGGCUCAUCAGCGAGAUGUUCAAGAGGAGCUGACUGCCAGUCCUUCGGCGCCUGAGUGUUAGCCAGUCACGGUGUUUCCUCCUGGCUCCUCUACAACCGCUGAUCCUGAGCCUACCUGUCCGCCCUCCGACGUACUCCCUUUGCCUCCUGGAUCCCCGCUGUCAGACAAGACGACCACCUGGAACCUCUGAGAACUAAAACCCCGGACGCUGCAGUUACCCUCUCACUUCUCUAACCUGCCGAUCACAAGUGUUUCCUCCUGGCUCCUCUACAACCGCUGAUCCUGAGCCUACCUGUCCGCCCUCCGACGUACUCCCUUUGCCUCCUGGAUCCCCCUGUCAGACAAGACGACCACCUGGAACCUCUGAGAACUAAAACCCCGGACGCUGCAGUUACCCUCUCACUUCUCUAACCUGCCGAUCACAAGUAAGAUCUGCCCCUUCACUCUUAACGUUGUCAUUUCCUACAAACCUGAACUCAUCACCUCCCUCUGCCUCUCUAGUGAACUGUUUGUUCCCUGGACCCGACCCAACUAUUCCUGCCAGCAGUGUUUUCAAUAAAUUUAUCUUUAUUUUCA